GGGAUGCAGCUCAGUGGUAGAGCAUUUACCUAGCACAUGUAAGACCCUGGGUUCAAUCCCCAACAUAACCCC
rnacentral:tRNA from 1 species